rnacentral:rRNA from 1 species
AUGGAGGAGCCCCCCAGCAACAAGCGCCGCAACUACGGCCACUACCAUCAGGAGGAUGGCCCGACUCACUUCUGCAAGGUCAUCCUUGCACCGAAGCUUGAGUGCAUCCCUAUGCCCUUGGACUUCACCAAGCACUUCGUCGCGGUGCCGACGGAGUUCAAGCUCAGGAACAACACCGGCUGCUCCUGGAAGGUGACGGUGAAGCUGAUGAACGUCAGGGUGACCCUGGAUCAGGGUUGGGCCACCUACGCAGCCGUUCAUCAGAUCAAGAUCGGCUACAUGGUGACGUUCAAGCUCCUCACUCCCGACACCCUCAAGGUCAUCAUCUUCGAUGAGGAUGGCAUUGAGGUCGUCAACAAGUGCGGGAAGCACGACGAAGUCUUCGCCGCCAAGGAGUAG